rnacentral:rRNA from 1 species
GAUGAACGCUGGCUACAGGCUUAACACAUGCAAGUCGAGGGGAAACGACGGGGAAGCUUGCUUCCCCGGGCGUCGACCGGCGCACGGGUGAGUAACGCGUAUCCAACCUGCCUCUGACUGAGGGAUAACCCGUCGAAAGUCGGCCUAAUACCUCAUGGUAUCGUCUGCGGGCAUCCAACGACGAUUAAAGAUUUCAUCGGUCAGGGAUGGGGAUGCGUCUGAUUAGCUUGUUGGCGGGGUAACGGCCCACCAAGGCUACGAUCAGUAGGGGUUCUGAGAGGAAGGUCCCCCACAUUGGAACUGAGACACGGUCCAAACUCCUACGGGAGGCAGCAGUGAGGAAUAUUGGCCAAUGGGCGAGAGCCUGAACCAGCCAAGUAGCGUGCAGGAAGACGGCCCUAUGGGUGGUAAACUGCUUUUAUGCGGGGAUAAAGUGAGGGACGGGUCCCUCAUUGCAGGUACCGCAUGAAUAAGGACCGGCUAAUUCCGUG